rnacentral:lncRNA from 1 species
UUAAGUCUGUCUGACGUGCCAUGCUAAAAACAAGUCCUUUUAUUCAAACACAAUGUUUACACAGUAUGACAGUCAGGACGCUGGGAUGCACUUUAGGGUUACCUGCAGCUCAGCUGAAUUCUACUUCUGCUUAGCAACGAGUCAUUUUACAACCCGCUUUCUCCUUAUUUCAGAAAAACAUCACGUGAGGCAUCUGCUUUCACAUUCUCUGCUCACUCAGUGUUUUUCCAAAAUCAACCUACACACUUUACACACAACAUUUUGAACAAGCCUUUUAGCUAAAACAUUCAUGAUAAAAUAUACUAAUACUUUCUUUAACAUUUUCUCCCUAGGCUAGCUUUGGUGGUGUUCAACUUCUUCUGGUGUGAAGUAAUUCUUCAGCACUGGGUAGGUUAAAGGUUAAAGGUCAUCUCACUCCCUCUCUCUUGUUGUCUCAUCAUUUCUCUCUCCCCACCCGGCUGUUUCACUUCCUCUGUCACUGUACCCUUUACCUCUCUCUCUCUCUUCUCCAUCUCCCCUACCUCACUUCUCAUUUUCUCUCUCUCUCUCUUUCUCCAUCUCUUUGUCUCUCCUUACUCUUGUUUCUUCCCUUUUAUCUCUUUGCAUGCGUCUCUGUCCCCACCCAGGUGUGUGGUGGCGUCUCUCUGUUGACCCUGGCCCUGCAUGAUGACCUGCCCUACCUGCGCAGGUGAUGGAGCAGCUGCUGGUGUCUGAUGGAGCAGCCCAGUAACGCUCAGCCCAAACUGCUGCUGCGCCGCACAGAAUCAAUCGUGGAGAAGCUGCUCACCAACUGGAUGUCCGUCUGCCUCUACGGCUUCCUCCGGGCUACAAAAAAAUAUGUUGUGCUGAACUUCAUUGAAGAGAAUGAAGUGGAGGCAGCACCAUCAAACUGGCUGGAGUGCAGUGAUGGGAUUGUAUAUUGCUACUGGCCCCAGCGCAACCAUGCCACCCUCGCAAAGCGAUGUGCCCUGCCAGAUAAAGAACUCUGGACAAAAUACUCAGUGUACUCUCUGAAAAGGGUAUGUAUGUCUUAAAAAUCAAUUACUCAAGGCUCCAGACAAUUCACAGCCAUGGGGAUAUUCUUCACCGAUCCCACUCUUCCUUGUGUGAUGUAGUGUAUGUGCAACCAAUAACUGAAUUUCACUUUUUGAGGCAGUGUGACUUAAACAAGUUUACUGUGUUUGUUUUUCUGUAGACACUUAUACUCUGGCAAGACAAAAGGUUCAAAGAGCACAAGAGACCUCUCAUCUUGACGACUCUGAACAAGAAUCCCGGCGGAUUAAGCUCCCGGAAAGAUACAGAGGUAUAAUCAGAUAUUUCUGACUUAUAAUCAGAAAUAUUGC